rnacentral:rRNA from 1 species
UACGGAGGAGGCAAGCGUUAUCCGGAAUUACUGGGCGUAAAGCGCACGUAGGUGGCGACGUAAGUCGGGUGUGAAAGCCCCGGGCUUAACUUGGGAAUUGCGCUCGAAACUACGAUGCUGGAGUGUGGCAGAGGAAGGUGGAAUUCCACGUGUAGCGGUGAAAUGCGUAGAGAUGUGGAGGAACACCGAUGGCGAAGGCAGCCUUCUGGGCCAACACUGACGCUCAUGCACGAAAGCGUGGGAGCAACAGG